rfam:Picea glauca, whole genome shotgun sequence.
GAAAAAGCCCUAUUCAGGGCUACAAAGAAGUCUAUUGUAAAAUUUAU